UACGUAGGGGGCAAGCGUUGUCCGGAUUUAUUGGGCGUAAAGAGCGUGUAGGCGGCCAUGUAGGUCCGUUGUGAAAACUCGAGGCUCAACCUCGAGACGUCGGUUGAAACCGUCUGGCUAGAGUCCGGAAGAGGAGAGUGGAAUUCCCGGUGUAGCGGUGAAAUGCGCAGAUAUCGGGAAGAACACCCGUGGCGAAGGCGGCUCUCUGGGACGGUACUGACGCUGAGACGCGAAAGCGUGGGGAGCGAACAGG
rnacentral:rRNA from 1 species